CCUGGUUCCUCAGUGUCCCUGUGUGCAGAUUUCAGAAAAGCACAAAUGACUGAGGCUGAAAAACCUUCAUACAGUCUACUGGUAACUGGGUCUCCUGAAUGCAGCAAUGAAGAAAAGCUUGAAAACCCUUUU